rnacentral:rRNA from 1 species
UACAGAGGUGGCAAGCGUUGUUCGGAAUCACUGGGCUUAAAGCGUGUGUAGGCGGAUCGUUAAGUACCUUGCGAAAUCCCACGGCUCAACCGUGGAACUGCUGGGUAUACUGGCGAUCUUGAGCCACCUAGGGGCGAGCGGAACAAGCGGUGGAGCGGUGAAAUGCGUAGAUAUCGCUUGGAACGCCAAUGGUGAAAACAGCUCGCUGGGGGUGUGCUGACGCUGAGACACGAAAGCCAGGGGAGCGAACGGG